CCUACGGGUGGCUGCAGUGGGGAAUAUUGGACAAUGGGCGAAAGCCUGAUCCAGCCAUGCCGCGUGUGUGAAGAAGGCCUUCGGGUUGUAAAGCACUUUCAGUGGGGAAGAAAGCCUUGGGGCUAAUACCCUCGAGGAAGGACAUCACCCACAGAAGAAGCACCGGCUAACUCCGUGCCAGCAGCCGCGGUAAUACGGAGGGUGCGAGCGUUAAUCGGAAUUACUGGGCGUAAAGCGCGCGUAGGCGGUCUGAUAAGCCGGUUGUGAAAGCCCCGGGCUCAACCUGGGAACGGCAUCCGGAACUGUCAGGCUAGAGUGCAGGAGAGGAAGGUAGAAUUCCCGGUGUAGCGGUGAAAUGCGUAGAGAUCGGGAGGAAUACCAGUGGCGAAGGCGGCCUUCUGGACUGACACUGACGCUGAGGUGCGAAAGCGUGGGUAGCAAGCAGGAUUAGAUACCCCGGUAGUC
rnacentral:rRNA from 1 species